CUGAGUGCUGAAAAAUUGAUGCUUGUGAACUGUGGUAUUGGAGGAGACUCUUGGGAGUCCUUGGACUGCAAGGAGAUCAACCAGUCCAUCCUAAAGGAAAUCAGUCCUGAUUAUUCCUUGGAAAGACUGAUGCUGAAGCUGAAACUCCAAUACUUUGGCCACCUGACUCCUUGGAAAAGACCCUGAUGCUGGGAAAGAUUGAAGGUGGGAGGAGAAGGAGAUGACAGAGGAUGAGAUCACCAACUCAAUGGACAUGAGUUUGAAUAACCUCAGGGAACUGGUGAUGGACAGGGAAGCCUGAUGUGCUACAGUCCAUGGGGUCACAAAGAAUUGGACACGACUGAGUGAAGGAACUGACCUGAACUGAACUGAAUCCUCUAGUUCAAAGGAACUGUCUAAGGGAUAAAAGUCCCCAGUGAAAGAACCUUUGUAAUCCUAGGCUCUACUUUGGAAAGCCCUAAACAAAUGUUUCUGGUGGAAAAGAAGGGGCAUAUUUUCACAGCAAGAGGAAAGAGAUUUCCCAAAUAGAGUACUCUGACAAUUAAGUCCCAAAGAUGAUAGAGCCCUGGCUAAGAAAUGAUGACAUUUCUGGCCUUUGGCCUGUGACUCAGUGAGGAACCAGUGUGUGAUUAGGGUUGUGACCAAGGCCUAGAUAAUCUUUAUCCCUUGCCUGGACAAUGGGAAUUCUUGGUCUAGGGCUGGUUUCACUGUGUGUUACUGUUGUUUUGGGAAUGUAUGCAGCAGCAUGACACUGGCACCAAAUCAAGAACUGGCCCAGGGCAGGCAAGCUGGUGAACGCAUUUCAGCAUGACACCUCUCCAUGACUCCUAAAGGCUUUGCCCACUUGGGCAGAAGAUGAACCAGAAGGCCAAGCCAGAUCUGAUGGUGUUUUCUCUGGCAGGAUACAUGAGGGAAAGAACACCAAGGAGCACAUCCCAUCCCAGCCAGACUCCACUGACUCCUCAUCGCGUUCUUCUCUGGACACAACAAAGUGUCAGGCAGAACAGCCAUAGCAUACUAUGCUCAAGUCUCCACUCACGGUUUAUAAGGCAGAUCAAGGCAGCCACCCUAGACCAAGGCAACACUGAACAGCCCCUAAGAAAGUAUCCUGUGAUGAACUGAAUUGCAUAGACAACUAAAUAUGUGUGUCUACAGUGUAUUCUUUAUCAGAUCUGUGCAUUCAGUCUGAAAUAAAAUAUUUGUAGGUUAAUCAACAGAGUGCCAUUUCUAAUUCAUCAA
rnacentral:lncRNA from 1 species